UACAGGUUCAUUUCGGGUGACAUCACGCCUUCCUAAAUACAUUUCUUUUAACACAGAACUAUGAGGCAAAUUUCUGAGAUCAGAAUACAUCCCAGGUGGAAAAUCAGAAGAGAGACAUAUGUGCUCUACACCAGGAUGUCUCUCCGGCUCCCACAGCUAUGCUUCCACACUCGGAUGUUGCAGCUGCAGGUGGCGAGGGAUGCAUUCCUAUUGUUGUUGCCCACGGUUACAACAAAGCUGCUACAUCAGCCAGUCCCUGGUGGGAUUUCCGAGUGACGUCCCCCACAGUGGUCAGCAAGGGAUCUGGAAUAGCCAGGCGUUCUGCUGCAGUGAGGGGCUAUCAUCUCUCUGCUCUAACCUCUCAAGGACAGUCAGGACCACAGGCUGAAGGCACUUCCAAGCCAGGAUUAGCACAGCUUCCCUCCUCCAUCACAUCAUCUGAAGUCCAAAUGCUACUCAGUUACAGUAGCUUACAGGCACAUUUUGUGUUAUUAUCAUUAUUAUUUGGCAGACACCUUUACCCAAGGCGACUUACAGGUGUUACGGAGCAGUAAACGGUUACAAUGCAAGCUUAAUAUUUAAAUACAGUGUAGUUUACAGUAAGUGAAGAUAAUAUACUACUAAAAUACAAUAUGAACUAGGAUGCAACAAGUUAUAUCUACAAUGAUAUAGUAGUGUAAUUGUGCAGAGAUAUAUUGUCACAACCUGUUCUGUUUUUUAUUCAUCGUAAAAUAGGAUUACUGUAGGUUGACUGUGUUAGAAGAGAAGUACAAACCUAUUGAAAAUCCACCUUCUAGACUUUAAUAUGGUAUUUUAUCAAUUUUACUAAAUAUCCCUCAUAUAAAGUUUGCCUUGUUAAAAGCAUUGCAAAGUGUAAUAAAGCUCAGUGGAAGCACGGCAGGCAUGGAAAUAAGACUCCCAUUGCAUAGCAGUUUGAUCCAAUCCUGGUUUUACUAUGAGUUUAAAACACACCUGAGCCUGUUGCUUAUACACUGUGGCUAAUCAAAAUCGUAGUAAAAGCUGGAAUAGAGUUUUUAUUUCCAUUCCUGCAUAAAUGGGUAAGCAUUGCAAAGCCCGGAGAAGUACAGUAAAGUAUAUUAAGAAACAUGGCAAACCAUGGAAAAGUGUGGUAGACGAAUAGCAUAGUUAUGGGACAGUGCAAAAAUAUGGUGCAAAUUAAUCCUGGUGCAUUUUUAUAAGGGAACUUAUCAUGCUUCUGUAUAGCAAUGUAAGUUUAUAAACAUCGCAACCCCCAUGGCUGGCAUUUGGUCUCAUCUUCAACCAUAGGGGCUCAUAUACUCAGACACAAGUGCAUGUGUUAUAUAUGAAACUGAAGAAGCAAGUGCAUUUUCAUAGUAAACUGUACAGCUAUGGCCAAAAGUUUUGCAUCACCCUACAGAACUGACUAAUUUUGCUUCAUAAAGUCGAAUGAAUCCUGCCGGAUAAUGUUACGUUAACAUAUUGAAUUGCAUACCGCUUUGUAGUUUUCCAAAAAUUGAAAAAUGUGACAGUUUGA